rnacentral:rRNA from 1 species
CAGCCGCCGCGUAAUACCGAGGGUGCGAGCGUUAAUCGGAUUUACUGGGCGUAAAGCGUGCGUAGGCGGCUUUUUAAGUCGGAUGUGAAAUCCCUGAGCUUAACUUAGGAAUUGCAUUCGAUACUGGGAAGCUAGAGUAUGGGAGAGGAUGGUAGAAUUCCAGGUGUAGCGGUGAAAUGCGUAGAGAUCUGGAGGAAUACCGAUGGCGAAGGCAGCCAUCUGGCCUAAUACUGACGCUGAGGUACGAAAGCAUGGGGAGCAAACAGGAUUAGAGACCCCAGUAGUCCCUGUCUCUUAUACC